GAUGCAGCCCUACCAGGAGGAACCAGGGGAUAUCUGGAGGAAAAUGGCUAUGACAUGUGGUUGACAGCCCGAGAGCCCUGUCUUGUCAAGGAACCCGAAGCAUAGAGAGAGCAGUUCGACUCCGGGUGUCGUCUCACUCUCCGCAUUCUAAAACAGACGCAGGAAGAUGGGAUGCUCGAAGCCCAGCAGCAUGAACGAUCACUCAGAUAUGCCUCCACCCCCACCCCACCCCACCCCACACUUUGCUGUGAGUUUCCUUGGUGGUUUCGGUGGCCUCACACAAGACUCUUCGCUGAACAAGGUUUUACCCUAGAAAUGCACUUAACACCUGAAGGUACGCUAGGAGAUGGAGAGUUUCUUAACACUCAAGAUGUCUGGAAGCUAUUUCCAGAGAGGGGCUAUGUGCCUGCUGGAGCAGAUGACAAGGAAGGGCCAAGCGGAGGAACAGAAUGAACCUCCAGGAGCUCAGAGAUGGAAAACCUCAGUGAGUGAGUGAGCGGAGUUCUGUGUAUUAACUGCAAAUACCUACUAAUUGUAUAACAAAAUAGGCCAUCCGCCUUUAGACUAUAUUCAAAAUAAUGUGUCAAAGAUGCUAACGUAUCAUUCAGACAAUACCCCCCCAUAACCUA